UAAGAAUUAGUUAAAUACAUAACAUAAAUUUGUCAUUUUUAAAUUAUUAAUUAAUUUAAUAUUCUUAU
rnacentral:tRNA from 1 species